UGAGGAACAUGACCUUCGGCGGGGGAGUAGCCGGCCCAACGGCCGGGUAAUACCGCGUACGACCACUUGGGGACAUCCUCGAGUGGUGAAAGCAGCAAUGCGCCGAUGAAGUGCCUCGCGGCCUAUCAGCUAGUUGGUGGGGUAACGGCUCACCAAGGCGACGACGGGUAGCUGGUCUGAGAGGAUGGCCAGCCACAUUGGGACUGAGACACGGCCCAGACUCCGUACGGGAGCA
rnacentral:rRNA from 1 species